CACGUAGGCGGCUGUCUAAGUCAGAUGUGAAAGCCCGGGGCUCAACCUCGGAAGUGCAUUUGAAACUGGAUGGCUUGAGUAUGGGAGAGGGAAGUGGAAUUCCUGGUGGAGAGGUGAAAUUCGUAGAUAUCAGGAGGAACACCGGUGGCGAAGGCGACUUCCUGGACCAAUACUGACGCUGAGGUGCGAAGGCGUGGGGAGCAAACAGGAUUAGAUACCCUGGUAGUCCACGCAGUAAACGGUGAUCACUAGGUGUAGCGGGUAUUGACCCCUGCUGUGCCGCAGCUAACGCAAUAAGUGAUCCGCCUGGGAAGUACGGCCGCAAGGUUAAA
rnacentral:rRNA from 1 species